GGAUUAGAUACCCUGGUAGUCCACGCCGUAAACGAUGGGUACUAGCCGUCGGGAGGGUUUGCCUCUCGGUGGCGCAGCUAACGCGAUAAGUACCCCGCCUGGGGAGUACGGCCGCAAGGUUAAAACUCAAACGAAUUGACGGGGGCCCGCACAAGCGGUGGAGCAUGUGGUUUAAUUCGAUGCAACGCGAAGAACCUUACCUGCCCUUGACAUCCUGGGAAUCUGGAAGAAAUUCCGGAGUGCCUUCGGGAACCCAGUGACAGGUGCUGCAUGGCUGUCGUCAGCUCGUGCCG
rnacentral:rRNA from 1 species